ACCCGCUGAACUUAAGCAUAUCAAUAAGCGGAGGAAAAGAAACUAACAAGGAUUCCCCUAGUAACGGCGAGUGAAGCGGGAAGAGCUCAAAUUUGAAAGCUGGUACCUUCGGUGCCCGCGUUGUAAUCUCGAGAAGUGUUUUCCGUGCUGGACCAUGUACAAGUUCCUUGGAAUAGGACGUCAUAGAGGGUGAAAAUCCCGUACUUGACAUGGACGCCCAGUGCUUUGUGAUACACUCUCCACGAGUCGAGUUGUUUGGGAAUGCAGCUCAAAAUGGGUGGUAAAUUCCAUCUAAAGCUAAAUAUUGGGGAGAGACCGAUAGCGAACAAGUACCGUGAGGGAAAGAUGAAAAGCACUUUGGAAAGAGAGUUAAACAGUACGUGAAAUUGUCGAAAGGGAAGCGCUUGAAGUUAGACAUGCCUAUUAGGAUUCAGCCUUGCUUUUGCUUGGUGUAUUUCCUGGUAAGCAGGCCAGCAUCAGUUUUGUCUGUCGGAUAAGGGUAGGAGGAAUGUGGCCCCUCGGGGUGUUAUAGCCUCUUACUGGAUACGGCGGAUGGGACUGAGGACCGCAGUGCGCCUUUAUGGCGGGCCUUUUGGCACCUUCGCACUUAGGAUGCUGGCGUAAUGGCUUUAAGCGACCCGUCUUGAAACACGGACC
rnacentral:rRNA from 1 species